GGGGCCGUAGCUCAGCUGGGAGAGCGCUGCGUUCGCGAUGCAGAGGUCGGGAGUUCGAUCCUCCUCGGCUCCACCA
rnacentral:tRNA from 1 species